rnacentral:snRNA from 1 species
GUUCUUGCUUCAACAGCACAUAUACUAAAACUAAAAUAGUGCAGAGAAGAAUAGCCCAUGUGAAAAUAUGAUGUGUAAAUUCUUGAAACAUUCCAAAUUUUG